GGCGAGGUAGCUCAGUUGGUAGAGCAUGCGGUUCAUACCCGCAGUGUCGACGGUUCGACCCCGUCCCUCGCUACCA
rnacentral:tRNA from 1 species